rnacentral:misc_RNA from 1 species
UACGGAGGGGGCCAGCGUUGUUCGGAAUCAUUGGGCGUAAAGGGCGCGCAGGCGGCCGUGCAAGUCAGUUGUGAAAUCCCCUGGCUUACCCAGGGAACUGCUUCAGAUAUUGCAUGGCUUGAGUCCGGGAGAGGAGAGUGGAAUUCCCAGUGUAGCGGUGGAAUGCGUAGAUAUUGGGAGGAACACCAGUGGCGAAGGCGGCUCUCUGGACCGGUACUGACGCUGAGGCGCGAAAGCUAGGGGAGCAAACAGG